CUGUGCAAAUCAAACACUCCCUUUUUCCGGGACACUGUCCUGGCUCCCAGUUCUUUCCUCCACUAUCUCAGACUUUGUGCUUUCAUCAGGCAAUCCAGUCAUCUGGUCUUUCUUCAGACUCAACUCUGAAAAGGUACUUUGUAACCUCGGUUUGUACUUCCCUCAAGAGUAAUCUGGAGUAACAAGGCUUCCAGCUGUCUCCGAAUUUCCUGGAUGAAUUCUCCUCGGCGCCGAAGCUGAUCCUCAAAACUUGUGAGCUUGGUGAGGAAGACGACGAGGUCAGCAUCUGAUCGGCCCCUGAGGGUCGUGCCUUUGCCCGAGGAGCCACCCUAAGGCAGGUGAUGAGAAAGAGAACAGACAUUGAUUGUUGAGCAGAGCCUCCCUGAGCAAAAUGCUGAGCACAGUCGCUAAGAGUCUGGAGUGCUUGCCCCUGUCCUGAAGGCCUUCCCAGUCUCAACUCCUCGAAUGUGCACAAGGACCCUGGGACGCCGCUGCUCCCAAUAGCUGCUCCCAUAUCCAGAGAAGGAAACAGACGCUGAGAGAGAGGAUGUGUCAGCCCCCUCACACAGCUAGUAGGGGGCAGAGAUGCGGUUCACAGGCAACCUGGUUGCCUUUUCCCAGGGCCUGUGUUCUGUCCUCCCUGUCUUUUUUGAUCCCAUAUCACGAGUGGGUAUGCACACUGACUGGCCCAUGCAGGGUGGGUGACACGCCUUAUUUCACUUGAUCUGCGAGCCCUAGAAGGUACUGGGACUUAUGGGUGAGGAAACUGGGACACAGAGAGGACACUCGUACCAGUGUUUUAAGCGCUCUCCCUUGGCUGAGAUCCCCAGCUGACAGCCUCCUGUUGGAUGAGAUAAGAAGACAGGGGGAGGUGGUUAGAGUGGAGGGAUGCAUGGGACUCUCAUUAUGGACCCAAAUGUUUAGCUGGGGAGAGACUGCCGCCAAGCAGUGAUGCCGCCUCCCACCACCUGGGAUCCAUUCUCUCUGGAGGUGGUUGUUAUGAUGUUCUUAUCAUUACAGGCCUUCUCUGCCUACAGACUACCUUCCUCAAGAAGCUGCAAUGGCUCCCGACUGUGGCAUCAAGUCAUAACUUCAUUGUCUAUUUUAUGAGACCCUCAAGUUACCAUCCUACUCACUGAAAUGCUUUCUUACUACCUCUAAAUACUCAUCAUCUAUUUCCAAAGAGUCAGUUUCUACUUCAAUAAAACUAUUAAAGUAUGAAAAAAACAAAGUGAAAAGACUAACAAACAAAAAACCCCCAAAGAGUCAGUUUCAUCCCGCUGCUCCAUCCUGCCCCCACACAUUUGCUCAUGCUGUAUCUGUCGCCUAGAAUUUCCUCCUUGCUCCACCUGUAAUGACUGUUCUUCCUCAUUGUUUGAAGGUAGACUGGAAACAUUCAUCCUGGACUUGCAAAUAGAUUAAGGACACUUCUUCUGCACCCUAUUUUUUGCAGAGGCCACACACUCCACUCUUCUGGGACUCAAUAAUUCCACUGGAGGUGAUGUGUUCAGCGAAUAACCAAUUAUGACUCAAUCUUCCCAGCUUUGUAACCCAAACUGGACCCAAAUGAAGACCACAGGUCCUGACUUUGCAUUUGGACAAUGUAAUUGCCAAAGUAAAGCAGUGCCUUCAACCUUCUGCAUCCCUGAGUAAGACCCUCCUCUCCCGGGGGGAUACAGGAUGGGGUUUUCCUGGGAGCUGGGAGGACUUACCGAUAUAAUCAUUGGACUUGCCAAUGUCAUAGUCCCAGACUGAGAUGUCCAGUGACUUCUUUGCCAGAUCACUAUGUUUGAUGUCAUAGAAAAACUCCUGGAUGCAGCAGAGGAAGAUAUGUGAGUGAGAGGGUUCUCUGAGCCUUCAGCAUUGGGAGCUAAGAGGCUGAGUCCUAAGAGUUCAUGGACCAAGGGGAGGCCCUUGUAUUUGGCAUAUCUGGAGCCAAGGGGGCCUCUACCCCAGACCUGACAGUCCCCUUUCAACAAACACUCUGUAUAACAAAGCCCCCAAACCCUGUAAUUCUCUUUUCAGUGACUCUGCUUGAAAUUGGGAAGUCUGGUGGGGUUUUUCUAAGACGGCUGUUUCUGGUUAAAUUUCCUUGAAGGUAGAUAGCCAUGAACUCAAUCCUUCCAUUCUCAGCUCCUGAAGUGGUUUCCUUGGCUCUCCAUCAUUCAGAAAUGAAAGUUACUUGAGGGGACUGAUACUGAUGUGAGGCUUAGGUGCUUAUGUUUUCAGAUAACCUGAUUUUGUCUAUAACUCUUCUACCUAAUCAUAAAAUUCAUUCAUAUUCACCUUUAAAACAAACGAGGAGGUGGAAAGACAAAAAUCCCCAAACCAGGGGUUCCAUCAUGGCACAGCGGAAACGAAUCUGGCUAGGAACCAUGAGA